rnacentral:rRNA from 1 species
GGAUUAGAUACCCUGGUAGUCCACGCCGUAAACGAUGAGGGCUAGUUGUCAGGCAGCAUGCUGUUUGGUGACGCAGCUAACGCAUUAAGCCCUCCGCCUGGGGAGUACGGUCGCAAGGUUAAAACUCAAAGGAAUUGACGGGGGCUCACACAAGCGGUGGAGCAUGUGGCUUAAUUCGAGGCAACGCGAAGAACCUUAUCCUGGAUUUGACAUGUAUGGAUUAGCGCUUGGAAACUUGCGUAACGCGGCUUGCCGUGGAACAUACACAGGUGCUGCAUGGCUGUCGCUCAGCUCGUGUUG